AGUCCGUGACUUGUGGCAAUAUU
rnacentral:miRNA from 1 species